UUGCAUGAUGCUUCUUUUACAAUAUAUACGCUGGAAAUUACCGACUGAGACCUUCGGGUCAUCGACGAUAUAAAUUGGCUAUUUCUGAUC
rnacentral:snoRNA from 11 species